AUCUCACUGUGUUGCCCACGAUGGCCUUGAACUUCUGGCCUCAAGCAAUCCUCCUGCCUUGGCUUCCCAAAGUUUUGGGAUUACAGGUGUGAGCCACUGCCCUGACCUCUUUUUUCCUAAGUGAGUUUGAGGAAUAUAUUUUAGUUCCUCUUUUAAUACCAUGAAACUUUCAGAUUCAUAGCUCAUAAAAUGUUACGUAGCAUUGAAUUUUUUAAUAAAAAUGAAAAUCAGACUCAUUUUCAUUAUUAAUAAAAAUUUCGGUGAGGCUACAUAACAUGAGGCUACAUAUUCACAUUUAGGUAGGAGAUCCACAGAAUUUUUAGUCUGCUUUUAAGUUAAUAUUAUAGUUCUUAAAGUGCCCUGGGUGAAGACUGUUUUUUUGAAACAGAAGAGAUUUUUUUUUUUAAAAAAUAGGCUUUUGUGUUUAUUACCUAAAGAAGCUAUUCUGAAAUUUUUAUGUAGAAAAGUCCUCUUCUGCUCUAGCUACAGAAGAUUUUUUAUCCAUAGAUAUUUUCGUCAUCUCUUUUGUCCUCUUUCCUUUGUUAUAGUUGAUAAGAAAAGACUGCUUUUUUCAAAAAUUGUGUUUUUAUAUUGGUGAAUUUUGCCAUGCCUGAAGUGAUCUCUGAGAUAUCGUCCUUUUGGCUAUAAACAUUUCUGUUAACUGUUAUAAAGAGCUUUCUAUAAUAGACACAGUAGACUGUACUUAAUUUUUUUCUCCCUUCUUGGUAAAUCUCUUUUGGUUGAAAGAAAAUGCGUCAGCUGCCUCCUGUUACAGAAGCCCGUAUGAACAGCCAGGGGUGUAAUCUCCGGGGAAGGCUUGGCCAUUGCCAGUGAGCCUUGCUCCACUGUUAGCUGCCUCAGCUCUUCCUCUUUUCCAGAUGAGCAGAUGCUGACAGCUGAAAGAUAGACAGAAAAUAAGUGGGGAGAAUUCAAAUACGGGGAAAAUAUUGUGGGAAAAAUAGAUGCUUAGUUUUCUUUUUAAUAUUAUGGAGAAAGCAAAUAUCUUUGGGUAAAAUACAUUAAUUGCAGCCACUGUAGGAAAUAGAUGUUUAAAAUCUGACAAAUAAUGUUCCCCUAAGUUUUUACAGGUCUGUGGUUUCAUACCAGGCAACAUUUGUAAGUUAAUCCAAAUGAAAUUGUACCUCCUUAUUUGAAUUUACUGUACAUUUGAUAAAAAUGAGAGAGUUAACAUGACGCUAUUGGUUGUCCUUUCAUCACUUCUGUCCUUUUGUGAGAGCAGUUUACAGGAAAGCAAUUUGUCAAAAAAUAGUAUUUUGUUUUGUUUUCUUUACUGGAAGCGUGGACCUGCCUGAUAAUAUGUUGAUUUUUAAGGUGUGUUUUACAAAUUUAAAAAAUUAUAUUAUAAAAUAAUUAUUUUGAAUAGAUGGUAGUAUUUCUAAUGAACAAUAUUAAUGUUCCAUUGCUAUCAUGUAGUUUUUAAAUUAGAAGACUCAAUUUCAGUUUUUAUUAGAAAGAAUAUUGUUUGGUGUCAAAUGACUAUUAAAAGUAUAUAGUGCAAUAAAAAGGAAGAUGUGAAGGAAUGUAGAAACAUUAAAGCAAAAUCGAACCUCCUUAAACAGUUAUAUCAGAUGUAAUUAAAAUAUGGGAUGUAAUUGACUAUCAAAUACUUGAACCAGUGCUUUUAUUUGUAAUAUAUAUGUGUAUAUAUGUUUUUGAUUACAGAUAUUAAGCACGAAAUGAAAUACUGUUGAUUUGAAGCACUAGCCAAUUUAAAAAUAAUUAAAAUGGUUACCCAGAACUUUGCUGUAAUUUUACUGGAGAUUUUUGUACAAUAUAUAGCCCUAGUUUGAUCUCCAACAUUCUCACCUUUAAGAAAGCAUUUACAUUUCCUAUCCUCUCCCAACUGGGAGAAUAUGCAAAUAUUAUAAAAUAAAAUUCUCUUUUAUAAAUAGUUUCUAAAAUAGUACUUUCCUUUAAUGCAUUUACAAGGACGAAAUACAAGUUCAGAGGAUUAAGAUCCUUUUAUUUGACAGUAUAGAAAAUCUCUUUAAAUUUACAGAAAAAAUAGUGACAGAUUUUCUAAUUCCUGGUCUUUGUUCUUACCUCUUCUACUGGAGGUUUUGGGGUCUGUGUCAGGAAACCUUAUUAUAACUAAGAUAAUUUGUUAAGGCUUUUUGCUUGGGUGUACACCACUGGGAUUGAGAUGCUUUGUAUUUCCACUGCUCUGUGAACUCAUUUUUUAUUUCCCCAGCUUUUGAGGAGAGGCAUAUUCAAAUAGGAAAUUUGAAAGGCAGUAAAAUACAUAUUUUUAUACUCUUUACCAAGAUCUAUCCUAUUUUCUUUUUCCUUCCAUUUCCCAAAUCCUUCUUUCUCAUAGAAACAUUUCAAAAUAUAGAUGGGCCUUUAAAUAUUUCAGCAUAUAUUUUCUAAGAAUCAAGAAUGGUCUCUUACAUAACCAGCACUACUAUCACAACCAAGAAUAUUAACAGUAAUUUAGUAAGUAAUAUCAUUUAAUAUAUGAUUCAUAAUUGGAUUUCUCCAGUUGUGUAGCUGUCAUUUUAUGUUUUGUUUUUCCAGGGCAAGAUCCAUUUUUCAUUUGGUUAAAUCUGUGGUUUUUUCAAACCUGGAAGAGUACGCCAUUCAUUUUUUUUUUGUUUUCUACAACACUUAUUUCUUUUGUCGAUAGCCUUUAUUUUUUAACUUUUCAUUUUGCAGUAAUUUCAGACUUACAGAAUAGUUAAAAAGAUAGUAUAAAUCAUUCUUAUGUAUGCUUUGCCCAGCUUCCUCAAAUAUUAACAUUAUAUAACUAUACCACAAUGAUCAAAAUUAGACAGUUAACACUGAUAUGUUAUUACUAACUAAUCUGUAGACCUUAUUCAAAUGCUGUCACUUUUCUCACAAGCGUCCUUUUUCUGGUCCAAAACCUAGUUUAUGACCCCAUGUUGCAUUUAGUUUGUCUCCUUUGUCUCUUAUGAGCUGAGAGAGUUGCUCAAUGUACACAUUUGUAUUUAAUCACCUUGACAAUUUUGAAGAAUGUCAGUCUGUAAUUUUAUGGAAUGUCUUUAUUUUUGGGUUUGACUAAUGUUUCCUGAUAAAUAAAUGAAGAUUAUUCAUUUUGGGCAUGAAUUCUGCAGAAGUGAUGCUGUAUUCUUCUCAGGGCAUCCUAUUGGGGUUGCAUGGUGUCCCUGUGUCUCAUGAUUGGUGAUGGUAACUUUUCUUUUAACCUGAAACAUGAUAUUCACCAAUUUUUUAAGGGAUUAAGUCUUUUAUUUUUCUAACUGACAAGUAAAAAUUCUGCGUAUAAUGUUUUUGUAUAUAUUUGCACACACACAUUGUGAAGUGAUUAAAUUAAGCUAAUUAGCAUGUAUUGCCUCAUAUACUCAUUUGUGUGCGUGUAUAUGGGGUGAGAACAUAUAAGAUCUACUCCCAGCAAUUUUCAGGUAUAUGUUACCAUUACCUGUGGUCACCAGGACAUACAGUAGAUCUUUUGAACUUAUUCCUCAUGUCUAACUCUUGCGUACUUUGACUAACAUCUCUUCAGUGACCCCACCCAAACAGUGUGUACAUAUAUAUAUUUUUUUUCUUCUUUUUUCUUUUUGUUUAGAGAAUUCAGGCAAUUGUCUUACUGAGGCUUGCUCAUUCUAGAUUUCACUCAAUGUUUCCUCAUGAUUAGGUUAAGACAUUUUGCCAAGAACAUUAAAUUGUUAAUGCUGCAUAUUUCAUUUUGUGUUUAUUAUAUGAUUCCUAAUGUUAGGUCAUCCCACUUUGGGUGAUAAGAUCUUUGAUCAUUUGAUUGGGGUGGUGACAAAUGUGGGCAUAGUUUUAGGAUGAUCUUAGAAACUUUUCAGGAAAAGAACCUAUAGUAAUUACUGUUGGCCUACUAUUUCCAAAUUUAAAAAGAAAGGAAGAAGGAAAAUUAGAGCACAGAGGUUUUAUGGAACCAGAAAAAGAGGCUGACCCCAGUUUUGUCUUGUUUUCACCCCUCUGGGUGAGAGAUCUGGGGCAUUACUGUACAUCAGUGUUCGUUGUGUUCAGCAGUAAGGCAGUAUUUUGGCCUGUUUUCCAGGAACUUGAUUUUAGGCUAAGGGUGGAUUUUUAAAUCCUGUGAGUGUAUGUAGUCUUGAAUACAGUAGUCAUUUUGAAAGGCUUUGUUGAUAACCUUUGUUGAGAUCCUUUUAGAAGUUUCGUCAGAAUCUGAGCCUAUUCUUUUAAAUAUCCUCAGCAGUGACUCAUUUUUAUCCUGUGAGGGUAAGUUUUAUUUUCAUAAAUAUCAAAAGAUCAUUCUGUGCCAAAUAUGAUUAAGGUCAUACUAUUUCAGGAAGAAAAAAAGUAUAACAAAAGAACUUUUUUUUUUUUAAGAGGCUCAUAUAAUGUCAACAUUUUACUGACAUGAAGAAAGAACAGUGUAGUUGGGUUUAGUGUAGCACUUCCCCAGGUGACUUCCUUAAAGCUAAAACUCAUUCAGCCCUCUAAAGUCCAGUGUAUUUAUUGACAUACCUUGCAUGUACACGAGCACACACUACAAAGUCUCAUCUUUUUGUGCAUUAAAGUAUAAUUCAGUGACUGGUUCUUUUUGUGUAAUUAGGGUGGUUUGGGAGUUAUUGUCUGACUUUGCACUGUGUACAGGCCUUUUUGUUAGUUGCUCUGGAAUAAAUAGGUUGACGUAGGACCCAGCAAUGCUGCCUUGGAAUUGAUCAUCUAAAAUCUUUUAGGAGAGAUUAGACAUGUGUACAAGCAUCAUAACCAUCCUUUAUAAUGCAGUUGUUGUAAUCAAACAGGAAUAAGGCAAUAUAAAGCUGGGAGUCAUGAGUUCAGAAAAACAGUGUGGCUUCUGUCAGCCAUCACCAAGGUUUAAUAGAUGAUAAGUCUUACAGGGUGGGUCCCUGGCUACUUCUCUGACCUCAGCUCCUUGCCACGGCUCCCCUUGCUCACAUGCCAUUUUCCAGGCAUAUUUAGUCACUUGCCUUGGCAGACAUUUGUUGAGUCACGCAGUGGUAUAGACACUAGGGAUACAGCCAUGAACAAUCAGAGAAAGAUCCCUGCCACCAAGCAGGUACCUUCUGGCAUAGGAACAGUAGACAUGGCAAAUGAUAAGUUAUGUAUUAUGGCAGAAUUGGAAGGUGUUAUAGAAAAAAAAAAUAGGGGAAGGGGUCUGAGGAGAGUGUGGGUUUGUAGUUUAAAACGAAGAGGUCAGAACAAACCCCAUUUAGAAGGUAACAUUGAAAUAAAGACUUAAAAAGAAUUGAGUAAAUUAAUUAUACAGAUAUGAGGAAGAGCAUUUCAGACAAAAGUAUCAACUAGUAAAAAGGCCGUAGAUGGGAGUGUGCUUGGAGCAUUCACCACCUCACCACAACCAUAGCAGAGAGGAGGAGGAAGAGUGAUAGGAGAUACUGUCAGAGAAACAAUAGAGGAGUCAGAUCUAGAGGUCUCAUAGCCACUGUCAGGACUUUAACGUUUACCCUGAGUGCAGUGGUGUGACUUGGCUUCAUGUGCUCUUAGAUAUUUGAAGGUUCACUGUCAUCACUGUGUUAGGAGCAGACAACAGUAGGGCUGGGUUAGAAGCAAGAGGCCUAUUCCUGCCAGGGGCCUGUUACUGUGGUUGAAGUGGAGUGUGAUGGGGGCUUGGACUGGGACAGGAAUGGUGGAAGUAGUGGGGUGUGGUUUAGAUUCUGGGUAUCUUUUAAAGAUGGAGCCAAGAGAAUCUUUUGUCAGACAUCUGGGAAGAAACAGAUGUAAAGAAUGACUCCAAGGAUUCUGGCAGCAGUAACUGAAAAGAGAGGUUGCCUUCUACUGAGAUGUGGAAAGCUAUUCAAAAAGCAAGUUGAGAAGUGACAAUCAAGAAUAUUGUUUUGGACAUGUUUCCUUCAAAAUGAUCAUUAAAUAUCAAGUACAAUUUUAAGUAGACUGUGACAUACUUGUGGAGUUUUCGAGAGCAGCCUGGGCUGAAAGUAAAAAACCGUGGGAUUCAUUUUUUUCCUGCCAUCCACUGACCUGUUCUAAAGGCAUCCUGAAACACAGAAGUGGACACUGGUACAGACAGAACUCCAGGAAAGUAACUUCAACAAAUAAAAAUCUUAGGAUUAAAAAAUAAAAUUGCCAAAAUAAAAAAACAAACUGGAUGGACUGAAUUGCAGAAUAAAGAUGAACAAAAGAGAAAGUGACUGAAUCUGAAGAGAGAGCAAUAGAAAUUAUUAUUCAGUCUGAACAACUGAGAAAAAAAUCAUUGUGCUUAAAUAAAUGAACCAAACCUUAGGAACCUGUGAGACGAUACUCAAAGCUUUAACAUUUGUGUGUCAAGUGUACCAGGAGAGGAGAAAGUGUGUUUUAGGAAAAAAAAAAUGGAAGAAAUAAUGGUUGAAAACUUUCCUAAUUUGGUGAAAGACACACAAGAAUUUAAGAAGCUGAGUGAAUCUAAACAAGCCCAGAGAAAUCCGUGAUCAGACACAUCAUAAAUAAACUGCCUCAAAUUCAAGACUUUAAAAAAAAAUCCUGAAAGUCAGAGGAAAAUGCACAGGCAAUUCAAUGGAGAAAGUGUGGUUAGGAAUAAUUGGACUUCCAUAUGCAAAAAAAUAAUAAAACAGAACCUUGAUGCAAACCUUACAAUUUGUGCAAAAAUUAGCUCAAAAUACAUAAUAAAUGUAAAACUAAAUUUUGAAGCUGCUUUCUCUCAUUGUUCAGAGUAUAAGACCAAGGGGCCCAGCCUACUGGUAAGUCCUCAGUCUGUAUAUUUGAAUGUGUGAAUUACUGCUCCUGGAGAAAAGAGAAUGAGAUUAACUUCAAAGGAUAGUUAUACAGAAUAGAUAGGAGAAUUAAUACUAUAAGACUAUGUUUACUUUAACUGCCUUUUUUUCUUCAUUAAAAUUAGUUUUAUUGUUUUAUGUGUUCAAAUUAUAUAAGUAAUGAAAUUAAUUAACUGGUGACUUUGAUUCUAAGUAUUUUAAUUUCCUCCUUAUAACCUCAGAUUUAUGUCAGUGUUUAUUGCUCUCACUUUUAAAAAUCGCUGGUAACUUGAUAUCUGAAAAAAACAGGUUAUUCAUUUUAUGAGUGGCAUGUUACUUUCUUAUUAUCCAGCUGUAAUCAAGGUGGCCUUAUUUACAUUUUAAUAUUCUAUAGUGUUUAUUUUAUGUAUCAAGUUAAAUAAAUGGUCUCAGGAAUCACUUGAAGCAGUCUAGAAAGCAGAUGUUCAAAGACCUACCUUUUUCUCAGUCAUUAAGUAGAAUAUGUAGAAAGUUAAUCAAGGAAGGUAAAUUAGUUCUGUCUGUAAAUUAAGAAGAGCGGCAGUUCAUUU